UAGCCCCACUGACUUUUAACUAGCUUCCUGCCUGUCUUCUUUGUUGCUCCUUCACUAGCUCUUUUCCACACGCUCGCCGAAGAACAGACGAAGAGUGUCGCGUGCCCCGAGCCACGGGUGGCAGACCGGCUAGCUCGACACGAAACCAUAUCCUUCCAUGUCUUGGGCACACAGAUUUCCCAGCCUCCUUUGCACGCUUGUGGGGUCAUGUGGCAGCACCGGCCAGACUAUGGAGGUGCCCAUCAAACUUGCCACGCUAUUCUCCAUGCUCUAUGGUUUUGGGUUUUUUGGUUUUUGGGGGUGUGUGUGUGUGUGUGUGUGUGUGUGUGUGUGUGUGUGUGUUUUGGCCUCAUCUGCCGGAAGGAGUUUGCGUUUCUGAACGCCUGCAGAACACAGGUCCCCUCCUCUUGGAAUGUGACAUGAGCAAGAAAUAAACUUAAUUUGUGUGAAGGCCUGAGACUUGGGGCGGUUCAUACAGCAGUUAGCCUGCCCUAAUGCACAUGCCAAGUUCCAGCCUCUCAAACUUCUUUCUACAAGCCUGGACAACGCCAGCCCUCUCUCUCACUGGUUCCCCAUGGAAAACAUCUUUGACCUGUCUGCGUGUAGACCACACCUGAAGUAUUUGCAUCCACGUCCCAUAUUCUGACCCUCAACCUCCAACCUUGGUUCAUGUUUCAACUUUUAAAUCGACUUCCUGCCUGUUGGUAAAAACAUGCUGGUUGGAAGUGAACUGAAACUCUCAGAGAUGGUACCCGAUUUUCUCUUAACUGAGUCUUCAGGCCAUAUGCUCUGUGUGUCCAUGGGGCACGUUGAGGGUAUCUGAAUUAAUGACAAGAAACAGGCAGCUUUGUGGUAAACAGAGGCUGACAGACCUACGGACUGAGAAACGGAGUUGAUUUAUUUUAUUUGACUUUCUGAGAUUCGGGGCUGCCAGAUUUCAAUACAUAGUGGCUCCUUCCAGCUGUAACAUUCUAUGAUGCCAUGAAGACCAGACCCGCUUGGAAAACAACCCACAAGGACACUUUCCCACAGUAUGGGCUUGUGAGACAAGCAACGUGAUCAAGGCUCACACAGUAGUUGCUAUGGCUCACAAUUUAAUAAACAGUUAUUACAAAACCAAGCAGGAUCGAGUGCCUUUGACACGGGCGUGAAGGCAGAGCGGGUACCCACCCCAGCUGGUAGACACGGAAGAUUCCUUCUUUGUUAGAGAUACUAUGGGAAUAGUGCUGACCGAUGUUUUCCUACCUGUUACGGGGUCUUCGACUUUAAUCUGCAAGUGUGCAGCAGUGUCUGAACAUUCUGGUUUGGCUAGUAGAACUUGGACUUGGUUCUGAGGUACAAACAUUGCUGCGUUGACACCUCUUGGCCACCAGAGAGCUCUAUGCAUCCAGCCAGAGGCACCUACUGGAUCAGCAAGCACGCGUUCAUAAAAAGCAGGCUUGCCCUGCAGUCCCUGCGGCAUAGAGGACAGGUUCUAUUGUGAUUUCUGACACCUGCAAAAUGUACUCAUCUGCCCCAUCACCAGCACCUCUGGCUUUGCCCCUCUGCCUUUUGCAACAUGGCACUUGGUGCAUUCAGGAGGCAGAGGUGGUCAACGUGGGUACCAGUUCUCCACACCGGUGGAAUGAAUUCCUAGCUGUGGGGCAAGAGAAGCCGGGGCCUUCAGACUUACUGGUUUUAUUGGUGGCUGCCAGCACUGGGGGCCAUGUGUAACGCAGCACUCAGGACGACGUCUUGUUGUGGGCUUUCUGUGGUGGUAGCUUUCUUUUUCUGCUCAUAAAAAUAACAUAUGCCAAACAUGGAAAAGGCGGAAAACACAAACUAGUAUAAAGAAGAACAUGGCAACAAUCCAUCAUUCCACGAACCAGAGAAAAUAACUGAAUAGAUUUGGACAUAUUUCCUUCCAACCUUCUUUUUCUUGUGGGAUGUGUGAGUAUUCGUACAAGUUGAUUGGAGUUGAUGCAUCCGGAUUUUUUGGGUAAUCUUUCUAACCUGAUAUUUUCUCUUAAUUUUGGAAGUGUUUUUCCAUAUCAUUACAGGUACAAUGCAAGAUAACCUGUAGAAUUCAGAGCAGCACCGAAGAAGAUAAAACCCCCCUGUGUUUCCAGUACCCAGAGAUAAUCAUUUUCACAUUUUGGUGUUUUACCUUCCAGUGACUUUUCUAAGCAUGAUAGUUAUUUACUGUUACAAAACUGGGACCAUGUUGUACAUACUGUUUCGUAGGCUGCUUUUUUCACAUAAAUAUUCUAUCGUGAUCAUUUUCCCUACAUCAUCAAAUAUCCUCCCCAAACCGGAUUCUUAAUAUCUGGGUAAUAUUAAAAUAUCUGAGUCAAGCUUAAUUCGCUUAAUGACUUGUCUACUGUUGGUUAUUUGUGCUGAUCCCAAUACCUUUUACUCCAAUACCAUCAUGAUGAAUAACUUUAUACUAAUUAUACCCCAUGUUCACAUCAUCAAUUAUCUACCCAGCAUAGAUUCUUAGACUUUGAAUUGCUGGGUCAAAGGGCGUGAACAUUUCUAAAAGACACAUUCCAAUGGCCACACUGUCCCCCGGAAAUGUCAUUAUCAGUUCAUAGUCUCAUCAGCACUACCUGAAAGUCUCUGUGCCAUCCACACUGCCCACACCGGGGAUUACUGAUUUUAAAAGUCCAGGUCCAUUUAAUACACACACACACACACAUACACACACACACACACACACACACACACACACACACAGUUAUGCCUCACUGAACAUUUCAAACUUUAUGUAUUGGCCACUUUUAUCUCUUCAUUUGUGAGUUACCGAGAACCUGAUAAGUAUCUACCAUUGUGCUGCACAUUAAUGACAAUUAUCACUGUCUUCCAAAGAGCCGUGCAGAUAAAUGCCAUUACCUCCCUUUUACAGACGAGGAUACUGAGCUAUAGAGAGCUUAAGUGUCUUCCGGAAGACACACAGCAAGUGAAUGACAAAGUAAGGCUUCAAGUUCAGAUCCGUGAUCCCCAGUCUCAUGCUCUGCUGAGGACGCCACACUGCCUCUCUGAGAAAUGUUUCAAAAUGUGCUUCUAUCGAGGAGAGAAGAUUAAAGAAUUCCUGUGCUAUCUGUGUAAGAAAUGUCUACUUGAACUGCUGUGAAGGAGAGACGGGAUGAGUGAGAAAACCUUGCAGACCUUUUUACAGCUGUGCAAUCCAACUGCGUCCUUUACACAGAUGAGGACUCUAGGACCCCGAGGAGUUAAGUGACUUGCUAGCUAUGGGUUUGACCAAAAGAUGGGGUAAAGAGGCCAAGAAAAUACAAACAGCACAAAACCCCGACAAGCUCUCUCAUGCCACUCUGGCUUUACGCACCGGGUUUCCUGUUUGGAUUUCAUCCCUCAUCCGCCUGGUGACUCAGCUAAAAUGUCAGGUCCUCUACAAAACCUCCCAUCAUUUUUCAAGGCAGAAUUAACUGUCUCUGUACUCUGUGAGUAUCUGUACUUACUGCAUUAUGAGCACUUUCUGCAUUGUGUGGCAGAGAUGUCUAAUUGCCCUGCACAUUUUUUAAUCCCUUCCCUUCCAUAGGGAUCAUAGGGACGGGGCUGAUGAUGGAAAGUGGCUGUCUAGACAGCGUGGCUUUCCAGCACCCCAGCCUCGCGUCUCGGUGUGGCCGUGUGACUUGUUUUGGUGAAUGGCAGGUGAGUGGGGCAUGGCUUUCUACUGCCCCUGCCUUGCUUCCUACUUGUGAACUCUGUUGUUGGAGAAUAUGAUAGUUGGAACAAGACCAUCACAAGCCUAAGGACAAAAAGCCAACACGAUGAGGACGGCAGAGCAAAAGCGUGGGAGGAAGCUGGUGUGAACAACAACGUCCAGCUACUAAAUCAACCCUAGAACCGCCUACCUUCAGACAUUAGAUCUUGUGAGAUAAUUAAAUAUCGUUAUCACG